CCUACGGGAGGCUGCAGUGGGGAAUAUUGGACAAUGGGCGAAAGCCUGAUCCAGCCAUGCCGCGUGUGUGAAGAAGGCCUUCGGGUUGUAAGGCACUUUCAGUGGGGAAGAAAGCCUUGGGGCUAAUACCCUCGAGGAAGGACAUCACCCACAGAAGAAGCACCGGCUAACUCCGUGCCAGCAGCCGCGGUAAUACGGAGGGUGCGAGCGUUAAUCGGAAUUACUGGGCGUAAAGCGCGCGUAGGCGGUCUGAUAAGCCGGUUGUGAAAGCCCCGGGCUCAACCUGGGAACGGCAUCCGGAACUGUCAGGCUAGAGUGCAGGAGAGGAAGGUAGAAUUCCCGGUGUAGCGGUGAAAUGCGUAGAGAUCGGGAGGAAUACCAGUGGCGAAGGCGGCCUUCUGGACUGACACUGACGCUGAGGUGCGAAAGCGUGGGUAGCAAACAGGAUUAGAUACCCGGGUAGUC
rnacentral:rRNA from 1 species